rnacentral:rRNA from 1 species
GACGGAGGGUGCUAGCGUUGUUCGGACUGACUGGGCGUAAAGGGCGCGUAGGCGGCCGCUUGCGUCGGAUGUGAAAGCCCGGGGCUCAACCCCGGAACGGCAUCCGAUACGGGGCGGCUCGAGACCGAGAGAGGUGAGUGGAAUACCCAGUGUAGAGGUGAAAUUCGUAGAUAUUGGGUGGAACACCGGUGGCGAAAGCGGCUCACUGGCUCGGUUCUGACGCUGAGGCGCGAAAGCGUGGGGAGCAAACAGG